rnacentral:rRNA from 1 species
AUUGAACGCUGGCGGCAGGCUUAACACAUGCAAGUCGAACGAGUGGCGGACGGGUGAGUAAUGCCGGGGAACCUAGCUUAUCGACGGGGCUAACGACGGGAAACUUUAGCUAAUACCGCGUACGACAGGAUGGGCCCAAGUGGGAUUAGGUAGUUGGUGAGGUAAAGGCUCACAAAGCCGACGAUCGCUAGCUGGUCUGAGAGGAUGACCGGCCACACUGGGACUGAGACACGGCCCAGACUCCUACGGGAGGCAGCAGUGGGGAAUAGUGGGCAAUGGGGGCAACCUGACGCAGCCAUGCCGCGUGAAUGAAGAAGGCCUUCGGGUUGUAAAGUUCUUUCGGUAGCGAGGCGGUAACUACAGAAGAAGCACCGGCUAACUCCGUGCCAGCAGCCGCGGUAAUUC